rnacentral:rRNA from 11 species
UUUGGGGACCCCUGCCCUAAAGAUAACAGAUCCCAUCUGAUUUUGGAAGCUAAGCAGGAUCAGCCUUGGUUUGUACUUGGAUGGGAGAACACCACCACCAAGUACCAGUUGCUUUUAGGG